GAUGAAGAACGCAGCGAAAUGCGAUAAGUAGUGUGAAUUGCAGACUUUAGUGAAUCAUCGAAUCUUUGAACGCACAUUGCGCCCGCCAGUAUUCUGGCGGGCAUGCCUGUUCGAGCGUCAUUUCAACCCUCAAGCCCCCGGGCUUGGUGUUGGGGAUCGGCGUGCCCUCGCGGCGCGCCGUCCCCUAAAUCUAGUGGCGGUCUCGCUGUAGCUUCCUCUGCGUAGUAGCAACACUCGCACUGGAUCGCAGCGCGGCCACGCCGUUAAACCCCCCACUUCUGAAAGUUUGACCUCGGAUCAGGUAGGAAUACCCGCUGAACUUAAGCAUAUCAAUAAGCGGAGGA
rnacentral:misc_RNA from 1 species